GUGGGGUAACAGCCUACCAAGGCGACGACGGGUAGCCGGCCUGAGAGGGCGACCGGCCACACUGGGACUGAGACACGGCCCAGACUCCUACGGGAGGCAGCAGUGGGGAAUAUUGCGCAAUGGGCGAAAGCCUGACGCAGCGACGCCGCGUGGGGGAUGAAGGCCUUCGGGUUGUAAACCCCUUUCGGCAGGGACGAAGCGAAAGUGACGGUACCUGCAGAAGAAGCGCCGGCUAACUACGUGCCAGCAGCCGCGGUAACACGUAGGGCGCAAGCGUUGUCCGGAAUCAUUGGGCGUAAAGAGCUCGUAGGCGGUCUGUUGCGUCCGCUGUGAAAACUCGGGGCUUAACCCCGAGCUUGCAGUGGAUACGGGCAGACUAGAGGUAGGUAGGGGAGAAUGGAAUUCCCGGUGUAGCGGUGAAAUGCGCAGAUAUCGGGAGGAACACCGGUGGCGAAGGCGGUUCUCUGGGCCUUACCUGACGCUGAGGAGCGAAAGCGUGGGGAGCGAACAGGAUUAGAUACCCUGGUAGUCCACGCCGUAAACGUUGGGCGCUAGGUGUGGGGUCCUUCCACGGAUUCCGUGCCGCAGCUA
rnacentral:rRNA from 1 species